rnacentral:tRNA from 1 species
CGGGCUGUGGCGCAGUUUGGUAGCGCGCUUGAAUGGGGUUCAAGAGGUCGCUGGUUCGAAUCCAGUCAGCCCGACCA